AAUAGCCAAACUUAGUUAAAUUAGGUGUUUUCUUUUCUGAUGUGACGUUGGAUGGUACCAUAGAACCGUUGGGUGUUAGGCAAAGAACUUAAGUCAAUAAGCUCUAAGGGUCUAGAUUGUUGGGCGAUACCUUGAGACUGUUGGAUGUUGGGUGGUACACUGGUCGUGUUGGGCAUUUACUUAACUUUGAGCACUUGGGGGCUCUAGCAGUGGGUGCCACAUUGAUUUUGUUUCUAGUCUAUCUUAGUAAAAUUAUGAUCCCGC
rnacentral:lncRNA from 1 species